rnacentral:rRNA from 1 species
AACGUAGGACGCAAGCGUUAUCCGGAUUUACUGGGCGUAAAGCGCGGGCAGGCGGUCGGUCAAGUCUGAUGUGAAAUCUCUCCGCUCAACGGGGAGCAGCCAUUGGAAACUGGGCGACUGGAGUCUGACAGAGGUAGGCGGAAUUCCGGGUGGAGUGGUGAAAUGCGUAGAGAUCCGGAGGAACACCAGAGGCGAAGGCGGCCUACUGGGUCAGUACUGACGCUGAGCCGCGAAAGCCAGGGGAGCGAACGGG